rnacentral:rRNA from 1 species
GUUUGAUUCUGGCUCAGAUUGAACGCUGGCGGGAUGCUUUACACAUGCAAGUCGAACGGCAGCACGGACUUCGGUCUGGUGGCGAGUGGCGAACGGGUGAGUAAUGUAUCCGGAGACGUGCUAGUAGCGGGGGAUAACUACGCGAAAGCGUAGCUAAUACCACAUACGCCCUUCGGGGGAAAGCGGGGGACCUUCGGGCCUCGCACUAUUAGAGCGGCCGAUAUCGGAUUAGCUAGUUGGUGGGGUAACGGCUCACCAAGGCGACGAUCCGUAGCUGGUUUGAAAGGACGACCAGCCACACUGGGACUGAGACACGGCCCAGACUCCUACGGGAGGCAGCAGUGGGGGAAUUUUGGACAAUGGAAACCCUGAUCAGCCAUCCCGCGUAUUGCGAUGAAGGCCUUCGGGUUGUAAACACUUUUGGCAGGAAAGAAACGGCACGGGAUAAUACCCCGUGCAACUGACAGUACCUGCAGAAUAAGCACCGGCUAACUACGUGCCAGCAGCCGCGGUAAUACGUAGGGUGCAAGGCGUUAAUCGGAAUUACUGGGCGUAAAGCGUGCGCGAGCGGUUCCGGAAAGAAAGAUGUGAAAUCCCAGAGCUUAACUUUGGAACUGCAUUUUUAACUACCGAGCUAGAGUGUGUCAGAGGGAGGUGGAAUUCCGCGUGUAGCAGUGAAAUGCGUAGAUAUGCGGAGGAACACCGAUGGCGAAGGCAGCCUCCUGGGAUAACUGACGCUCAUGCACGAAAGCGUGGGGGAGCAAACAGGAUUAGAUACCCUGAAGUAGUCCACGCCCUAAACGAUGUCAACUAGCUGUUGGGGCCUUCGGGCCUUGGUAGCGCAGCUAACGCGUGAAGUUGACCGCCUGGGAGGCACGGUCGCAAGAUUAAAACUCAAAGGAAUUGACGGGGACCCGCACAAGCGGUGGAUGAUGUGGAUUAAUUCAGUACCUUGCGAGCCAUACCCACCUUGACAUGUCUGGAAUCCCGAAGAGAUUUGGGAGUGCUCGCAAGAGAACCGGAACACAGGUGCUGCAUGGCUGUCGUCAGCUCGUGUCGGGAGAUGUUGGGUUAAGUCCCGCAACGAGCGCAACCCUUAUCGACGAAGGGCACUCUAGUAGGACUGCCGGUGACAAACCGGAGGAAGGUGGGGAUGACGUCAAGUCCUCAUGGCCCUUGGGUAGGGCUUCGCACGUCUUCUAUUGGUCGGGACAGAGGGUCGCCAACCCGCGAGGGGGAGCCAAUCCCAGAAACCCGAUCGUAGUCCGGAUCGCAGUCUGCAACUCGACUGCGUGAAGUCGGAAUCGCUAGUAAUCGCGGAUCAGCAUGUCGCGGUGAAUACGUUCCCGGGUCUUGUACACACCGCCCGUCACACCAUGGGAGUGGGUUUUACCAGAAGUAGUUAGCCUAACCGUAAGGAGGGCGAUUACCACGGUAGAGUUUCAUGACUGGGGUGAAGUCGUAACAAGGUAG